rnacentral:rRNA from 1 species
CCGGCGCACGGGUGAGUAACGCGUAUCCAACCUUCCCAUUACUGUGGGAUAACCUGCCGAAAGGCAGACUAAUACCGCAUAGUCUUCGAUGACGGCAUCAGAUUUGAAGUAAAGAUUUAUCGGUAAUGGAUGGGGAUGCGUCUGAUUAGCUUGUUGGCGGGGUAACGGCCCACCAAGGCAACGAUCAGUAGGGGUUCUGAGAGGAAGGUCCCCCACAUUGGAACUGAGACACGGUCCAA